UACAGAGGGUGCUAGCGUUGUCCGGAAUCACUGGGCGUAAAGGGCGCGUAGGCGGCCCGAUAAGUAGGGGGGUGAAAUCUUGCGGCUCAACCGCAAGGCUGCCUUCUAAACUGUCGGGCUGGAGCAUGGUAGAGGCAGAUGGAAUUCCCGGUGUAGCGGUGGAAUGCGUAGAGAUCGGGAAGAACACCAGUGGCGAAGGCGGUCUGCUGGGCCGUUGCUGACGCUGAGGCGCGACAGCGUGGGGAGCAAACAGG
rnacentral:rRNA from 1 species